UGAAUGCAAAGUUUAUUGGGACAUCAAAAGAAAGAUUUCACUAUCAUAAUACAUUAUUAAGCUUAGCUAUAUCUUUAAAAGAUAAAAACAUAACUAUAGAUCUUAGAAAUGAUUCAUAUGUUUGUGGUCUUCUGAACUCUGUAGAUGGGUAUCCAUUAUAUCUGCGAUAAAACAAGAAUUGGGAAGACAUAGAAAACAAAUACCUAAAGAAAAGCCAACAGUGUCAAGAAAAGUCAAGAAAGCUCAAAAACAACACAUGGAAACUGUAGCGUUGUUACAUCCGAAAACUCCUACACCUGGGACCAGCCAAUAAAAAUCAUUUAUUUAAAAUUAUCUUAUGUACUCAACAUCUAUAUAUUAUAUUGCAAUCUAACAUUAAACAUGUUAAAAGAACA